rfam:Gossypium raimondii Chr02_contig_1478, whole genome shotgun sequence.
UGUUAAAAAUACCAUUCAAUUGUACUGUUAAAAACUAGCAUGGCUAAUAGAAACUAGACAUGACAUGCCAUGUGUACAUCAUACUAAUGUACAGAGACCAGCUUUUAACCGUAGAAAUGAAUGGAAAUUUUAACA